UUUGCGAAUUCAGUCCAUCACCCCAACUCUCUCGUUUCUUAAUCGAUUUUGUUGAUUCAAAAGUUCUAUUUCACUCGAUUUUGGCUCAAGAAUCCAUCUGUAUCACUCUCACUCUCACUCUCUUUCUAUUUUCCCGACUUUCUCUUCGUCUCUCUCUCUCUCUUUGGCGAGUGUCGAUGGAAGAAAUCGGAAAGUUCCGGUUGAUCAAAUCGGAACAAUUAAAUUCAUUCCACCGGCAGCAUCGGUUCAUCAAACCCGUCGUUAUCAUCUUCUCUGUGGUUUAGCGUUGAUCAAAUCCAUCGUUAUCAUCAAAUCCUUAUGUUGAUCAAAUUCGACGUUAUCAUCAAAUCCGUGGUUAAAUGAUGCAUCAAUCUGUUUGUAUUGGUUAACAUACAAUUUGAUCCGAAUGCAAGCUCAGAUAAGGUACUCUUUCUUGUGAUCAGUUUUAUUGAGGAGGACAAUCCCGGAAACGCUGCAGCUGCUCUCAUGGCCCGUCGUGAUCGCUUAGGGAAAGGAGCAUCAUGUCAAAACUUGUCAUGGUUCAGUUUCAGUUUCAGUUGUAGUUUAUAGAGAUCAAGAAAAACCAGCGCUGAUCACUUAUCCAGACGUAACACUAAACUAUUUGUCGUGUUUCCAAGGAUUGUUUCUCUGCCCUGAAGCAGUCUCCUUACUGCUCCAUAAUUUCUGCAUUUACCAUAUCAGUCCCCUAGGACAUGAGGUUUGCAAAAUUGAUAGUCUUGAAACAAUUCAUUUUUUUCUUUGUAUCUACUUUGUUGUUUGCUCACAUUGUGUUGUGUUCCAUCGUAUCCACAAGAGUUUUUGCAGUUUUGAGCUGCUCCAGUUUGUUCCAAUGAUCUGUAGCCUUCUGUUGAAGACCUCGCAGAUCAGAUUCUUCAAGUAUUGAACUUUUUUAGCCUCGAGGCAGUAAUGUGCAUGGGGAUCACUGCUGGUGCCUACGUCCAUUCCUUGUUUGAUAUGGAUUGGUGGACGAAGAAGAUGUCACGAGCCGUUGUUAAAAAAGAGAGACUGGCCAGAGGCCAAAGGAGAGGGGAGAUGUUUUUAAAAGAGCUCAUCCAAUGCUGCGAUGGCAAAUCCAAUCCCAUCAAGUUCUUCUCUGCUGAUCAAAUCCUCACAGCCACUGAAAGAGAUUUCUGCAAGUGUAAUACCCUUGAGAGAAGUCAAAACAUCUGCGAGUGUAGUCGUGUUUCUGAUUUACUCUUUCAAGGGAAAUGGUAUUCAGGUAUGCUCGAUAACCAUCGCAUGAUUCUCGUUAAGAAGUUGCUAGGCAGAAGCCGUGACCCCCCUAGAGAUAUUUGCUCUGGACCACCUAAAGACAUUGCCAUAUCAUCAAUGUGAAACAAUACUCCCCUAUAGAUUUAAAAGUGGUAGUGUCGUGGAGAAAGAGAAUGAAGAUAGCAGAGGAGGUUGCAACUGCUUUAGCUUACCUUCACAACGCGUUCCCAAGGCCCUUUGUGUAUAGGAAUAUGGGUUUUCGGAAUAUCUUGUUGGAUGAAUAUGGUGUUGCUAAACUGAUUGAUCUGUCUUACUGUGUCUCUAUCCCAAAAGGAGAAACAUUUACCAAGCUUACUUGGGUAGGAAGAGAUUACGAUUACAUGGACGAUGAUCAUUUGUUCAAUCGGGUAGUGUCGGAAAAAACUGAUGUCUACGGCUUUGGAAUUUUCAUGCAAAAGCUUUUGGCAGGAGAAGAAAGAUUUGAAGAGCUUUGUGGUUGGAAGAACUGGAGAGGCAAAAACAAAGUGCCCAAAAGGUUGUCUGAAUCCAUGAGGGAGGGAAGCAUGGAUGAGAUUGUCGAUCCAAAGAUGCUAGUGGAUAAAGUUUC